rnacentral:rRNA from 1 species
GACGAACGCUGGCGGCGUGCUUAACACAUGCAAGUCGAACGAAGUGGCGCACGGGUGAGUAAUACGUCGGUAACCUGCCCUCCUUUUUGGGAUAAGCUUUGGAAACGGGGUCUAAUACCCAAUAAAGGGGGAUGGGCUCGCGGCCUAUCAGCUUGUUGGUGGGGUGAUGGCCUACCAAGGCGGUGACGGGUAGCCGGCCUGAGAGGGUGAACGCGCACAUGAGGACUGCGACACGGCCCAGACUCCUACGGGGGGCAGCAGGGGGGAGUAUUGCACAACGGGCGGAAGCCUGAUGAAGCGACGCCGCGUGGGGGAUGACGGCCUUGGGGUUGUAAACUCCUUUCACCAUCGACGCGGUAGAUGGAGAAGAAGCACCGGCUAACUACGUGCCAGCCGCCGCGGUAAUAC